UGUUGAAACACCAGUUCCUGUAUGAUCACCAAAGUUAAGCAACAUCAAGCCUGGGCAGUGUCUAGAUGGGUGACCGCUUGUGAAUACCAGGUGCU